GCCGCCCCGGAUCACCGCAGGGAGAAGGGGGGCUCCGGUCCCCCCGAUACGGUCCCGCCAACCUGGCCGGGAUGCAGAGAGUACAUGGCUGGGGGAUGGGCUUUGCCACCCACCUCCCCCAGAGUCCUGGGGUGGGGUGGGGAGACUAUAGCAGGAUUUAAGACCGCCGCUGACGAAAAGAAUUGGAUAACCGCUCCCUGCCCACCUUUCCCAGUAAAACAGGGGCAGGACGCCCUCCCCUCCAUCCAUCCACGCUAGAAGUCAACAGAUGAAUGCAGAAAACGAUGAUGGCUGAGAGAUGCAACAGCGUCAGAAGUGAUUGUCUCGAGAGUGGGAUUUAGGGACUAUGAAGCCCACGAGGGCAGCGCUGGGCUGUCUCAGUCACUGCUGGUGUGCCCUGUACCACCCAGCACAGCGACAGUACACGGCAGGUCAUGAUCUCCCCGUUCGUG